rnacentral:lncRNA from 1 species
CUAGGUUGGACUGGAUUUCAGCCCUUACUACAGGGUCAGUGUUUUUUCAUGGCAUGCACCAUGCCAGCUCCCCUGUUCAAGAGACAGAAAUCCCAGAUUUCUGUGUGAACCUUUUCAAUCCCGAAGACAAGUACUUCACAUUUUUUAAAAUUCUGAGAGCCCAGCAAACACUUCUGUGCCCCCAUUUAGACCCCUGGCCACCAGUUUGCGAACCCUAGAUCCGUGGCUAUUUUCUCGUGGGUUUGGCUGUUUUCCGGACCAAUAAGGUAAGCUCGGAGCCUCGGUUUACCCACGUACACAGGCGGGGAUUGGGGCAGAUGGUUCCGUGCGGGCGCUGCCUGGGUGUACUGGCUCGGGCACAGCGCAUCCUCGAAGAGUGGAUACAAAGAGUAAGUGUUUGCAUCUUUGAAUUCAGGGAGAAGUAGUCUCUGUGUGCGGUCAGGUGACCCGGGUCUGAUCUGCUCAGGCACGGGCGAUUUAGGGGAAGUGAAGCUAUAGGAGAUGCCCUUGUGGAAAUGCAAGUUUCUGCGUUAUCCUCCUUCCAGCGUAUCCUGGGGGUUAGGCAGCCCUUCUCCUGCCCUCACCCGGGGCCAGGACACAGAGGUGGACUCGAGUCUAGCUCUAGUGCCUGUCCUGUUGGGGAAAAGUUGGCUUGGAACCCUCCUCUAGCAUUCAGCCAUACAGGGGCUUGGAAUCCCGGAGCCCAGUCGCUCUACAGGAGAGAGAAAAGGAGAGAGCUGCUGGCCCGCGACCUCCGCGAGCUGUUGCCAUGGCCACAGCGGACUUUUGCUGUGAAGUGCGGUGACCACACCCCCAACUUCCCUUCUCCUCUCGCCUUCUGGAUGACGUCAUGGGCGUCCUCGGCGCUGACUGGCUACCUGUGGGUCGGUCUCGCCUUUAAAGCAGCCGUUCUCCCCCGACCCCCGCAGCUGCAGCGACGGUGUCAGCGCCGAGGGCACCCUGCCGGGACUCUGGAUCCGCCUCUCGCCCGGGCGGAGCGGCCACUGCUCCGGACAGCACCGAUUAGGAGAGAGCUUUUAGGGGAGACGCGAGGAGCCGGCGGCGGGGUGGUGAGGGGAUUUCUUCCAGAGAGGAGUGGAGAGCAGUGACCUUUCUUCCAGGCCGUGGCGACCCAAGCCAGAUUCCGAAUUCAAGCCGACCUGUUGCACGCAGAAAAGCGUCAGGGUGAGGUGUUCCAGGGCUCUCCUCCCCGCCUUGCCGGCCUCCGCCCGCCACGAGAUCUGACAGCCAGGAGCCCCCGGGACCUUUCGUGCAGACGCCGAGAGCCUAAUGCCGAAAGAGAAAAGGU